CUAAGUUUAAAUUACUUGAAAGGUAUUUAGGAAAUAUUUUGAAUACUAUUUAGUAUUUUCAUUAAUUAAAAGGAAAAUCAAACUAAUUUUAAUAUUUGUUCGUUUUUUUUUCAAAAUAAAAGAAAAAUGGAAUUUUUUGGCAUGUUGAUGCUGUGUUGGACUCUGCGGAACACCUUUUAGGAACGCUGCACUAAAUAUCGUCAUUUGGGAUCUUACUGCAACAUUAGAAUAUCAAGAAAUUGUCAUUUUUAAGCCUCUCUUUAAGUGAUACUACAUGGUGAAUAUUAUAGAAUUAGCAAACCGACAUACUUAAAAUUUGACAUUUCGUAUCUUAUAUAUAUAAGGAAAAAGAAAAAAAUAGUUUUUAAUCCAGCCAAUAAAGUGAAACAGGGAAAGAGAUUUUUAAUUGCAGUGAUGGCAAAAACUGACAAAUAAUUAACUAUGAAUAUAGCGUUUAAUAAGUGUGAAACUUCCAUAAGAUAUACUCGAUAUCAUGUGAAAGUCGAAAUGUCAAUAUGUCGUCCAGUUGAUAUGUUGUCCACCAUUUUCUACCAGAAAUUGAAACCGAUAAACGGUUUAAUAAGAUUACAUCUGAGUGACAUUAUGAAUGUGUCAUGCAAUGCUUGUCUUAAAGUCUGUAAUUCAGCUAACUUUUUUCAUUAAACUACUGAACCCUACUAUGAACUAUUUCUUGAACUGUUCUGACAACUGUUUCGACGAACUGUUCUAGAAUCCGUUGAAAAAAGGGUAUGUUUAUUCAAAUAAAAUACGCUUUUUGUUUCUGAUUUUGUAACUUAAAAUAUUGUCUGCAUUAAUUAAUUAGCAUAUUUGAGGUCACCCCCUCGAGCAAUUAAGAUUGAGUCCUAGAACGUGAAGAGCCAAUCAUUAGAUCAACAGUUAUUUCCGUUUUUUUUAAUUUUGCGCACUGAUUGUGCCUCUUGGCUAGGAGUUCGAGACGCUUGGAGUUCGAUUCAUGUAGUAGAUCACUUUAUUAAAAAUGUUUGAAAAUUU